CUGACUGGGUGCUUUUAAAUGCGAAUUGGAAUUAGUCGGAUCAACCAUUUUCAGUGUAUGCUUUUGUAAAUGAAAAUGAGAACUUCUCUAAUAAGGAGUUUUUAGUUUUUUACCCCUUUUAUUGGGCGUUUUGAAUGGCAAAUUCAAAUUAGUCGAAUCUAACAAAUUUCAAUGUGACAUGUAAAUGAAAAUUGGAUGACUAGUCUUUAGCCCUCUUUAGUAACAUUUCUCAAUGCAAGCUGUUAGUAAACUGAACAAAUUGAUUUUAUUAAAGAAAGGCCAAGAAUUCAGUUUACAAUUCUUCUAAUUCUGCUAAAAACUAUAAGCAUAACUAAUCUGCCAUGUUCUCACAAUUGAGCAAAAGAUGGUCUGGAAUGUUAGUACAGGAAGACGACUAGCGGCCAAAUGGAAGUACAUAUACGGCCUGCUAAAACCCAUCGAAAAAGACUAAGCAGGAAUUUUGAGACAUAAACGUGUGUACCACCAUCGAUUACAAUAAUGAAACUAUAAAGUACCUGUUCUUUUCUAAGAACUAGAAAAGACACAUGUUUCAGCUCCUCUUCAAAAUUAUCCAAUUUCUUCCAUAAAGCAAUUCAGUAUCCAAUUCUUCUAGAUAUUCACUUUCAUCAAAUACUAUUGUUUUAUUUGAAAUUAGUCGUGAAAUUAGUCGACGGGCAUGAAAGCUAAUUCAAACACUAUGAUUCUUAGAAAAAAAAACUACUUACUAUUUGACAAAAGUACAUACUCUAGUCCACCACUUGACAAAUAUAUAAACCUUAUCAACUUUGUUGGAAAAUUUUAACCAAAUGGCUUCUUCUUCAACCAUCCUUCUACUCCACCAUAUCCAUUUUCUUCCUUCACUUCAUCCAAUUUCCUCCAUAAAACACUUCACUAUCAAAUGCACUCGAAACUCAUCAGACCAAGAAUUCCUCACCCCUUCACCAGACUCAGAAACAACAAUCAGCCCAGACAAAUUCCCUAUAGAAAAACGACGAAAAUCCGAAAUAAUCCGUGAAAGAAAAUCAAGAACUGAUGGGCUAACAAAACAAGAACCACCAAACUUUGAGAUUGGUUGGAAGAGAACAAAGCAAAUUCCAUUAGAGAAACGUAUAGGGUACAUGGUAAUGGAUUUUUUGCAGAAGUUGGAAGAGUUAAUGGGGAGGGAAUUUGGGUCUACUGCAUUGUUGGUUAAAGUGGGAGAGAUAGUUGUAGCAAGAGUUACAGAAGAAGUUGAAGUGUUGAAAGAAGAAGGGAAAGUGGAAGACAGAAUGGUGAUGGAAUUGUAUAGAGUAUUGAAGUUGAUGGAAAUGGAUUUGGCUAUGGUGAAUGCUGCUGUGAAAGAAGAGACAUUGAAUGAAAGACUUGAACAUGCUAAGGCACGUUGUAGGCAAGCUAUUCUUGUUGCUAAUUCUUUCUGAGAGCUUCUGGCGUAACUAGCUUUAUUGCAUUCAUUAAUAAAAAAACUACCGCUACGAACUAGAGCGGCCCAUAUAGUCAGGCAGAAGCAAGGCGCCGGCGCUUUGCGAGGUCCUUACAUCCCUCCGCAAGCAUAAGUAGAGUCUCUGACUUCAAUAGCCAGUCUUGUACCCUCUCUUUUCUUCGGGAAAUCGAGUUAGCUGGGCUGGUUCCCUGUCACGAUCUCAGGAAAAUGAAAAUCAAUUCUCAAAGAUCCAUAAACAAAUCAGUGCUAGCUCCAUUUCCAAUCCACCAUUUUGCCAUUUUUUCAUCUGUGAAUUGUUAAUCAACCCAUCGGUACACUCUAUGCGAUCGAAUAUUUCUUACACACAUGAGUUUUAUGAGGGCUAUUAUGUCUAAGAAUCUUCCAUUGUCGUAUAGUUUACAGGAAGAUCAGCUGUAGAGGAAAACCUAUAGUCAAACUGAGAAUCGCAGCCGAAGUUACUCUAUUAUGAGACCUCCUUUGUCGCAAUAGAAAUCGAGAAUGGAGGUGACUUCGCUACACUUGUUUAUAGUUGGAAAUUUCAGUUUUCGACCCGAAAAGCUCCACAGAGCUGUCGUAUGCGGGUACUACGAGGCCCACGACUUUCUUGAUCGCCUCAUUCGGGUUAAGAUGUGGCUAAAGUCUCGGUAAAAUUGCUUGUCAUGCGACAAGGAGUAACCGGUAAAGUUGUUGUCAUGCGAUGAGGAGUACAUGAGUUCAAAGCUUGGAAAUAGGUUCUUACCAUGAUACAACAGGUUAAGACAGUGGAGGAUAGAUUUUUAUGGUCCGGUUCUUUAAAUCUCACGUAUAGAGAGAGCUUUAGUAGUAAAGGCCCAAAAUCAUACAUUAUUUUGCCUUAGACACAACAUAAUACAUAUUCUUUCAACUAGAGCACUUAUAGUCCUUUUUAUUUAGUUAAGUGGUCCAUUUUUAGUCAUAAUCCUAACACCAUUAAUCUUUUUAACAGCAGUCAAAUCACCUUUCUAUCACACUAUUUUUUUCCUCCAAAAAAAAAACCUCACCUGCAAAAUGUUGCUGACAAUGGCUUAAAUCAGUUUGAGUCUUGAGAUUUUUUGUGUCACUAGUCAUUGUGAUUUAGUCAUAAGGGCAUAAUUUUUUGGGAAUCUCUUGUGUUCAUGGACUGAAUGCACAGCCAAUGAGGGAGGAAAAAAUAUAUUCCAAUAAACACAAGAACUCCGAGAUCAGCCUCUUCACCAACAACUGGCCGACGAGGACGAACCAAGUAUAUUUGGGUUGCACACCAUAAGCAAUAUAAGGAAGCAAUUACCAACAUCAGCUUGACAAAGUUGAUAACUCAUAACUUGAGCAGUUUCAGUGGCUUCACUCUACAAGAUAGUUGCGACCCAAAAAUGAUACGUUAACGACAGAGCAAGCAACUGAAAUGAAAGUAAAAUAUCAUUGACUAAUCCAUCAGUAAACACCUGCUGAUGUAAAUAAAGUCAGCUAUCAAGCAACAACAUAAAACGCAAAUCAUAACAACAUCUGGAUUUAUUGGUGCACGACCUUCCAACCAACCUGUGCUCAAUAUCCAAGUGUAUUGAGGGAACAUCUUUUGAUUUAUACACGUUUUGACUUCUUUUAUUCUCUAUUCCUAGUCCUUUCACUCUUCAAUCUGUCAAACGUCCUCAUCUUUAGAAACGAGUUCUUUUGCUCUUCAUUCUGUCAAACGUCUUUGCAUAUCUGGUAUGUAUUUUGAUCCAUUCGAGUUGAUUUCAUCUGCUCUUUUCUUGAUAAGAAGCUCCCUAAAUUUGUUGUAUAUGGAUAUUCAAGUUCUUAGUUAUUUGACUCUUUUCUUUCUCUAUUGUGCAAGUUAUUUGUGGUUUUCUUGGCGGAGACAAGAAAAUGCUUAGACUAAAUUGCAACUUUCUGCUAGGAUAAUGCUUAUUGUUUACGCAUAGGAGGUCAUCACUGUUUUCUUGUUAGACAAAACAUUUUGUGAAGUUAAUUAGUGAACUUUGUAUGUCUUACUCAUUUUUAUACUUAAUAAAGUCGAAAAGUUGUUCAUUGUUAAUGUUUUAGGUGGCAACCUUUUACGAUUAUGUAACUAUCCCAAAAUCUCUUCAAGUGGGACGUCUCGUAAAUGUGACAUUUAAUCACCUCAAAGAAGUUAACUCGGAAGGUUUUGUAGUCUAAGAGCCUGAGUUGCAGCGUAUAAUGCUUCUUUUAGCCAAAAUCUUCGAUGCUAAUGAAAAUUCUAACCAACCUCUACUGACCUGUUGAAGAUUCUGGAAUCACCUAACGUAGAAGUUGAUGUCAUCUUUGAUCUUCAUGAGUCUUAUCAACCAUGAAAUUAAUAGAUUGAAACAAUUAUUGAUGCAGUGAUACAGAGAAGUCUGAAUUGUUGAUGCAGCGUCGAUGCCUCAAGGCUUAUUUGAUGUGUUUUUGCAUUGAUUUCCUUUGUUUAAUGGUGCUCGUAUUUAUCUGAUAUGAAGAUGAGAAGGCUUUUGUUAAAAAAAUUAACGGUGUUAGGAUUGUGUAUAAAAAUGCACCACUUUUUAAACAAAAAGGACUAUUAGUGCACCAGUUGAAAGAAUAUGUAUUAUUUUGUGUCUAAAGUAAAAAAUAAUGUAUAAUUUUGGGCCUUUACUCGUUUUUUUGCUUGUAAAAGCUCAAGCCUUUUUAAGAUCUUUUAAAAUUUCUAGUCGCAUUUGUAGUGUAUUUGAGUGUAUCUUUCGUUACCAACUUGGGUUGUGAUGGGGUGAUACCUCCAUUCUUGUUUGGAGGUUUUAGGUUUGAGUCUCAAGAAAUGAUUUGAAUUUAAUCAGGUUCCAUUGCAAGUAUCGAACACAAGAUGAAAAUUUAAUCAGGUUCCAUUGCAAGUAUCGAACACAAGAUGAAAAAAGAAAUGUAUCUUUCAUUGUGAUUGAGGGAAUGAUGGGAUAGUUGGAUAUCAUUAGUUUGAAUUUGAAUCCUCUAAAUGAAAACGGAAAUAAAAAUCUUUGCUAUUCGUCUGACUGGGUGCUUUUAAAUGCGAAUUGGAAUUAGUCGGAUCAACCAUUUUCAGUGUAUGCUUUUGUAAAUGAAAAUGAGAACUUCUCUAAUAAGGAGUUUUUAGUUUUUUACCCCUUUUAUUGGGCGUUUUGAAUGCAAAUUCAAAUUAGUCGAAUCUAACAAAUUUCAAUGUGACAUGUAAAUGAAAAUUGGAUGAGUAGUCUUUAGCCCUCUUUAGUAACAUUUCUCAAUGCAAGCUGUUAGUAAACAGAACAAAUUGAUUUUAUUAAAGAAAGGCCAAGAAUUCAGUUUACAAUUCUUCUAAUUCUGCUAAAGACUAUAAGCAUAACUAAUCUGCCAUGUUUUCACAAUUGAGCAAAAGAUGGUCUGGAAUGUUAGCGGCCAAAUGGAAGUACAUAUACGGCCUGCUAAAACCCAUCGAAAAAGACCAAGCAGGAAUUUUGAGACAUAAACGUGUGUACCACCAUCGAUUACAAUAAUGAAACUAUAAAGUACCUGUUCUUUUCUAAGAACUAGAAAAGACACAUGUUUCAGCUC
rnacentral:lncRNA from 1 species